rnacentral:tRNA from 1 species
GUUAUGGCUCAGUAUGUAGAGCAUGAGACUCUUAAUCUCAGGGUUGUUGGUUUGAGCCCCAUGAGCACCC